rnacentral:ncRNA from 2 species
UUUUUUUUGCAUAAUAACGGAGGUAUAAGUCUGCAAAACGGGCAGACGUCUCUACCAACCGCCAAACUGGUUGACUACCGCAUGUGUAGUCAGCUUU